CAGAAUCCCCCCUAGACGCGACGAUACCGGAGCGCCGAGGAACUUCUGGUUGGACACGAAUAGCCGGGGGCUCUCGUGGCCCCCGGCGAGCAGAGCCGCCCGACACCGGGCUGGGGCGCGGUCCGAAGCAGGCCGCCCCUCUCCGAUGAACGCAAGAGCAUGUUGCGAAAGUCCACGGUGCUAAAUGCCUUGCAUACGACCUGAUUCUGGGUCGGGGUCUCGUGAAUAGCAGAGCUGCUCACUCGNNGCGAUCU
rnacentral:rRNA from 1 species